rnacentral:rRNA from 1 species
UACGUAGGGUGCAAGCGUUGUCCGGAAUUAUUGGGCGUAAAGAGCUCGUAGGCGGUUUGUCGCGUCUGCUGUGAAAUCCCAGGGCUUAACCCUGGGCCUGCAGUGGGUACGGGCAAACUAGAGUGCGGUAGGGGAGAUCGGAAUUCCUGGUGUAGCGGUGAAAUGUGCAGAUAUCAGGAGGAACACCGGUGGCGAAGGCGGAUCUCUGGGCCGAUACUGACGCUGAGGAGCGAAAGCGUGGGGAGCGAACAGG